rnacentral:rRNA from 1 species
CCCGCUGAACUUAAGCAUAUCAAUAAGCGGAGGAAAAGAAACUAACAAGGAUUCCCCUAGUAACGGCGAGUGAAGCGGGAAAAGCUCAAAUUUGUAAUCUGGCGGUCUUUGGCCGUCCGAGUUGUAUUCUAUAGAAGCGUUAUCUGUGCCGGACCGUGUACAAGUCUCUUGGAACAGAGCGUCAUAGAGGGUGAGAAUCCCGUCCUUGACACGGACACCCGGUGCUUUGCGUUGCGCUUUCUAAGAGUCGAGUUGUUUGGGAAUGCAGCUCAAAUUGGGUGGUAAAUUCCAUCUAAAGCUAAAUAUUGGCGAGAGACCGAUAGCGAACAAGUACCGUGAGGGAAAGAUGAAAAGCACUUUGGAAAGAGAGUUAAACAGUACGUGAAAUUGCUGAAAGGGAAACGCUUGAAGUCAGUCACGUUGGCCAGGGAUCAACCUUGCUUUUGCUUGGUGUACUUUCUGGUUGAUGGGUCAGCAUCAAUUUUGACCAUUGGAAAAAGGUCAAGGGAAUGUGGCAUCUUCGGAUGUGUUAUAGCCCUUGGUUGCAUACAAUGGUUGGGAUUGAGGAACUCAGCACGCCGCAAGGCCGGGUUUUUAACCACGUACGUGCUUAGGAUGCUGGCAAAAUGGCUUUAAUCGACCCGUCUUGAAACACGG